rnacentral:rRNA from 1 species
UACGUAGGUGGCAAGCGUUGUCCGGAAUUAUUGGGCGUAAAGCGCGCGCAGGCGGUCCUUUAAGUCUGAUGUGAAAGCCCACGGCUCCACCGUGGAGGGUCAUUGGAAACUGGGGGACUUGAGUGCAGAAGAGGAGAGUGGAAUUCCACGUGUAGCGGUGAAAUGCGUAGAGAUGUGGAGGAACACCAGUGGCGAAGGCGACUCUCUGGUCUGUAACUGACGCUGAGGCGCGAAAGCGUGGGGAGCAAACGGG